UACAUAGGGGGCAAGCGUUGUCCGGAAUGACUGGGCGUAAAGGGUGCGUAGGCGGUAGGAUAAGUUGUAUGUGAAAUCCCUGGGCUUAACUCAGGACGUGCAUACAAAACUGUCUUACUUGAGUGUGGGAGAGGAAAGCGGAAUUACUAGUGUAGCGGUGGAAUGCGUAGAUAUUAGUAGGAACACCAGCGGCGAAGGCGGCUUUCUGGACCAUAACUGACGCUGAGGCACGAAAGCGUGGGUAGCAAACAGG
rnacentral:rRNA from 1 species